rnacentral:rRNA from 1 species
GUGGGGAAUCUUAGACAAUGGGCGCAAGCCUGAUCUAGCCAUGCCGCGUGAGCGAUGAAGGCCUUAGGGUUGUAAAGCUCUUUCAGUGGGGAAGAUAAUGACUGUACCCACAGAAGAAGCCCCGGCUAACUCCGUGCCAGCAGCCGCGGUAAUACGGAGGGGGCUAGCGUUGUUCGGAAUUACUGGGCGUAAAGCGCACGUAGGCGGACUGGAAAGUCAGGGGUGAAAUCCCGGGGCUCAACCCCGGAACUGCCUUUGAAACUCCCAGUCUUGAGUUCGAGAGAGGUGAGUGGAAUUCCGAGUGUAGAGGUGAAAUUCGUAGAUAUUCGGAGGAACACCAGUGGCGAAGGCGGCUCACUGGCUCGAUACUGACGCUGAGGUGCGAAAGCGUGGGGAGCAAACAGGAUUAGAAACCCCAGUAGUCC